CAGUUGAAGAAAUUCACAGCUUUUCCAUUUAAAAUAGCUAAACAUAAGAGAAGAUAUGUCAGUAAGUACCAAAUAAAUAAAACUUUGUAGCAAGAUAUAAGCCUUUCUCCCUGUCCACUUGUUGAGACAAAUAACAGGGAACAGAAUAGAUUUAACUUAAGAAAAGGGCUUUAAGAAAACACUGACAGCACAAAUAAUAAACCCAUGGGAUCAGUUGUCUGAGUCAUGGUAUCUCUACCACUAGGGUUUUUAAGGACAAAUUAAACAUCUGUGUGGACACUUAGGUCUAAUUGAUUCUGCUGUACAGCAGAGAGAUGGACUAAGAUGACCUCUUGGGAUCACUUUCAGUAUUUUUUUUUCUGUUUUGUUUGUUUUGUUCCCCCUCACACCCCCAGAUAUGUUAAAAUAUUAAUUCAUUAAAUGUUGCUUAGAUAGAUUGUUGAUUAAUAUUUAGUUUCAUUAAAGAAUGACAUAAAAAAUGCAACUGAAAAUCUACUUAAAAAAGAACAAGAAUUAACCACAAGCAAGCUAACCUUGGAAGAAGGCCAGAGAGAAAGAUAAGAGAAGCAUACAAAAUAUGAAGACCUGAACAAAUCCUUUUUAGAAAAGAAAGAUGAAGAAGUACAAGCCACAAGAGCCAUUCAGCAGUCAAUCAAAACUACUGGGAAGCUCAAGAAGGACAUGCUGGAGCUGAAGAAUAAAUUGCGAACGAAGCAUGAUGCUGCAGUUAGCCAGUUGAAAAAUCACGCAGAGACUAUGAAGCUCCUAGAACAAGACAUCUAUGAGAUCAACAGGAAAAUUGACAUUGUGUACACUGAGAACUGCAGAUUCAAAUUAUGCACUGCACAAAUGAAAGAAGGUAUUUUUGCAAUGAAUUCUGAAGCGGAAAAACACAAGUCAGCAAUAGGCAAAAUCCUGAAAGACAUACCAGUGCUUCACGGAAUUUCUGGAGGAUGAGCAGGAACUACUGAACACAGUGACAGCUCUAACAACAGAAAUUCAGCAACGAGAUGAAAAGAUUGGUGAUAUUAAUAGCGGGCUGCAAAAUAAGCUGGAAGGACUGGAUUCUCUGCUUGUCCGAAAAUCUAAACGGGAUGAUCACAAUAAAAUAGACUAAACUUUUUUUUUUCCACUCUCUUUUCUUUUUCAUUUUUCCUUUUUGCUGUUUUUUUAAUCCCAGAACAUGU